UCCAAGGUAGCCUAGUGGACAUGGCACCUGCCCGGUAAGCAGAAGGUUGUGGGUUCGAUUCCCGCCCCUGGAC